UUGGCGAGAGCGGCUGUCUUAUACACAGUAUGUCAUGGGUUCAAGUCCCAUCAUCCCAA
rnacentral:tRNA from 1 species